rnacentral:tRNA from 1 species
GCCGCUGUGGCUCAGAGGUGGAGCAAUUCACUCGUAAUGAAUAGGUCGUGAGUUCGAUUCUCACCAGCGGCUCCA